ensembl:lncRNA
UGGGAAUGCAAGAGAAGCAGUUUAGUGGGCAAAAAUUCCAAUGGUCUCACAAUCAGAACAUUUGUUAACAAUGUGCAUCAACAUACAAAGGAGUGCACAAUAAUAGGUUUAGCAAAUAAUGAUUGUUUGGUGGGAACAGCAAAUCCUCUCCUUGAAGCAGACUGGAAGCUUCAUUGGCUGUGGCAGGAAGGAAUUACUCUGCACUGAUCUUAACAGAAAAUAUACUGUGCUUUGAAAGUUAAACUUCAACAGGGCUGUAAAACACAACUUUGUACAGGAGAAAAUGCUCGGUUUUGUUUUUUCUUUGCUUUGAAGAGGCAUUAAAGUGAAAUGUGCUGGAAUCCCAGGAGUGGUACCAAUGUUACGAGAAAUACAGUGCUCCAAAGAUACUAUGAAGGCAAAUUUUGCAGGGACAGGUAAAGGAACGCCAACUUAUUGCCAGUGGGAGGUCGAGUAUUUACCUGAAUGUGGAAGCACUCUCCCGGACAUUUCAGAGCAAUCAGGUGAAUGCGGCCAUAUUAUCCUCUGCUGGAAGUAUGAAUAGAGAAACACACUUCUGAUUCAUCACUGAACACCAUGGAGUUGCUCGACACAAAGGGCAUCUUGAAGGGAUGCCUCUAAAUAGCUACGACACAGCCAACAUUGGAUCUGUUUAAAGGGAUACACAAAGUCAAGAAAAUUCCCCAUCACCGUGCAGGGCUCAGCCAAAUUCUGGCCCUUAAAAGGCAAGCAGAGGUGACUGCUUGAAGACCAAAACUACUCUUGCUCCCUGGAACCCUGUCAGAUGAAUGAUCCUUCUCUUUUCUUCUCCCACUCUUGCAUCACGAGAAUGAGUGAGUUUCCCAGAUUAUAGAGGUUUUGGGUUUUUUUAACUGUAAAAGAAACAGAUCCCUUGUGUGGAGUUUGUUUGUUUGUAUCUUGUUUUGUUUUGUUUUAACUGCAUUUAAACCAAAACCUGCAGCUCUGUCCAUAGCUAGCACUAUUCUUCCUGGCUUGAAAAGCAGCUUUGGGGAGUAGCUUGGCAGAAGCUUUGUUUGUAAUCUCCUAGAAAAACAAGGCCGAGUGGGAUCAUUUUUACAACCCAUCGCUGCUCUGAGCAUUUGGACCAGAGCAUGUAAAAACAGGAUAUAAAGCUAACUAUCAAUCUCUUCACCAUCUUUCCACUUUCCUCGAUGAAAAAAGCAGCUGACAAGGGUCAAGUGAAGUGCCAUUUUCCAGUCUUACACACAUUAUUGUAAUUUCAGAUAAACAAGGCACUAGAGGUAAUUGUUCCUGUUUUACAAAUUACUAAUUACGAUAGCCAAGGUUAAAAGGUUUAGACAGCUUCCUUCCUUCUCUCUGGCAGUCAACAAUAUUUAAGAAAGAAAAGAAAAUAGCGUCUCAAAGGAAAAAUAACUUGAUUCAUCUUAAAGACACAAACCAAAUUAACAAUACAAAUGUGACAAAUACCUGUAAAGAUUUGAUUUUAUGAAAGUCUAGGUCCUUUAGUCAUGUUAAUCACAGAAUAUCCACCUGAAAGAAUGAGUUAAGGUUGCCCUUCAGUAAUUAAAAGAUACAUGAAAGAAAUACCUGGACUUCACAAUUAGAGAUACUGUACAUUAUGUGAAUUGGGCUUUCCUUUCCGAUCUCAGUUGUUUUAUACAGAAAUUGAAUCAAUUUUUCACUAGUUCCAGGAAGUGUCUUAGAGACCCUUCCCUACUCGAGGCUAUUACAAGAGGUUGCCCGAGGCACUUCUUUCCUCCUCCUGUCUACAGGCUGUAAGUCUCUGCGAGCUUGACGAAGCUGAAUUGCAGUAAAACUGCAUUACCCUGAUACAGAAUCAUAGAAUCACCAAGGUUGGAAAAGACCCACAGGAUCACCCAGUCCAACCAUCCACCCAUCGCCAGCAGUUCUCAUUAAAGUUCUCAUUACAGGUUUAAAUCCCUAGGAAAACUGUGAUAGCUUCACUGGGGCCAAAUAAUUUCGAUUAUUUAAAGUUCAGAAUAUCUUUUCUUAAAAAACAAUAUGCAGAAACCACACGCCUAAUUACUCACAAAACUGUAAUAAUCACUAUAAAAAUGUCAGCAUUUGCCAACAAUUAGCAUACAGAUAUAUAGCUCAGUAUUUAAGGAGGGAAAUUCUGCAUGUUACAGCACAGACUACUGGACUGCUAAAUGUCUUUUUUUUUAAUGUAGCUCAGUGUCUUCUUGGGGUUCUCUAAAGCAGGCAUACCCUAUAGUAGGACAGCUGAUAUAAAAGAGUAAAGGUAGGUUAAAAUUAAUUGUCUGACAUAUGAACCAAACUAAUUGAACAAUGGUGUAAAUCCUUCGAUGCUCUACUGAACUGCAGUGAAGUACAUGCCUGCCAAAAUCCCCCAAAUACUGACUGAACGCCCUUGAAUAUGCAGCCAUGAAUCUUGAUUCUCUUGCUCUUUCCACAACAUAUUUUUUCCACGUUUCUGUUCUAAUCCAUUUGUAUCCCUAGCAGAAAACAUAAAUUACUUUUGUGAGAGAAGC